AACGAACGCUGGCGGCAGGCUUAACACAUGCAAGUCGAACGGGUGUAGCAAUACAUCAGUGGCAGACGGGUGAGUAACACGUGGGAACCUUCCUUAAGGUACGGGACAACUCAGGGAAACUUGAGCUAAUACCGUAUACGUCCGAGAGGAGAAAGAUUUAUCGCCUUUAGACGGGCCCGCGUCGGAUUAGCUAGUUGGUGGGGUAACGGCCUACCAAGGCGACGAUCCGUAGCUGAUCUGAGAGGAUGAUCAGCCACACUGGGACUGAGACACGGCCCAGACUCCUACGGGAGGCAGCAGUGGGGAAUCUUGGACAAUGGGCGCAAGCCUGAUCCAGCCAUGCCGCGUGAGUGAAGAAGGCCUUAGGGUUGUAAAGCUCUUUUACCAGGGACGAUAAUGACGGUACCUGGAGAAUAAG
rnacentral:rRNA from 1 species